GACGAACCGUGCGAACGUUGUUCGGAAUCACUGGGCUUAAAGGGCGCGUAGGCGGCUUCGCAAGUCCGGGGUGAAAGCCCCCAGCUCAACUGGGGAAGUGCCUCGGAUACUGCGGAGCUUGAGGGAGGUAGGGGCGGAUGGAACUUCCGGUGGAGCGGUGAAAUGCGUUGAUAUCGGAAGGAACGCCGGUGGCGAAAGCGAUCCGCUGGCCCUCUACUGACGCUGAGGCGCGAAAGCCAGGGGAGCAAACGGG
rnacentral:rRNA from 1 species